UGUUUUUCAUAACUGUUUCUUUAAGCAAUAACCUCAGUGCAUAAUAUGUUUGCGCCAUUUUGUCCCAGACGAAAUACAAUAAUGCAUAAACAAGCUUCAAGGCUAUGCUACGACUCUUGCAGUACACAAUAUACUGUGGUAACCCCAAGUUAAUGGAACUUCCCCAAAUCCGGGAAUCUCCCGCGACUGUACACUUACGACUUAGUAUAAACAACAGAUAACCUAUUCAGACUUUAAGAUGACAUCUUGAACUAAGUCAGGAAAAUUUCCAUGACGUAUACACCCUUUAGUUAUGGCCUUGUAUGUUUGCCAAGUUAAGGGAGGUCCUAAAUUGAAUAAAGUAAAGAAGUGUUACUUUUUCAUAUUUGAACUACUGUAACCUAAAAUGGAGACACCUAAGGUAUAAAUAGGUGUACUUUUAAAUGUUAAGACACAGAGGAGAGACUUGGAGACAGACGCUGCUCCAUCUUAAAAUGACAGAGAGGCUGACAUGAUGACAUGUUCAGAAGGGUAUGUUAACCUAUUAAUGAUAUUUGCAAGCAUG